ensembl:ncRNA asRNA:CR45008 antisense RNA:CR45008
ACUGCAUUAUUAAUUUUUUAAUUGUUAUUAAAUACCUGCUGAGCUCCUUAACGAUCUUCUGUAACGGUGAUCCAUUCGUAACAACUUCCGGUUUUAAAAGAACCUCUGGCCCCCGAAAAAAAAAUGUGGAAAAUUAUUUGGACGAAAAUUAAAAACAAAAACAAGCCGCACGCGACGCGCAGAAGAACUAAAACAAAACGGAAAAUGGAAUAAAUUGGCAAUGUUUAUGGCAGCAUAAGUAUACAAUAGUAUAGAAAUCGAAGUACAGUGAAAAUAGCAUAAGCCGAAUUUUUGUAUAUAUUUGAACUCC